UGCCUAAACUAGUAGAAAUACUAGCAUGGCAAAUUAAGUCCUACGAGGAUAAAAAACCCAUCAUAUGGGGUUGUCCUCGUAGGCCACAUCGGGAAACUGGUGUGAAAGACUUAGGUCUU
rnacentral:sRNA from 12 species